rnacentral:rRNA from 1 species
AACCAGCACCUCAAGUGGUCAGGAUGAUUAUUGGGCCUAAAGCAUCCGUAGCCGGCUCUGUAAGUUUUCGGUUAAAUCUGUACGCUCAACGUACCGGCUGCCGGGAAUACUGCAGGGCUAGGGAGUGGGAGAGGUAGACGGUACUCGGUAGGAAGGGGUAAAAUCCUUUGAUCUAUUGAUGACCACCUGUGGCGAAGGCGGUCUACCAGAACACGUCUGACGCUCAUGGACGAAAGCCAGGGGAGCGAAAGGG